UGCCAGCCGCCGCGGUAAUACGGAGGGUGCAAGCGUUGUUCGGAAUUAUUGGGCGUAAAGCGCGCGUAGGUGGCCAAGUCAGUCAGAUGUGAAAGCCCUGGGCUCAACCUGGGAACUGCAUCUGAUACUGCUUGGCUAGAGUAUGGUAGAGGGGUGUGGAAUUUCCUGUGUAGCGGUGAAAUGCGUAGAUAUAGGAAGGAACACCAGUGGCGAAGGCGACACCCUGGACCAAUACUGACACUCAUCCGCGAAAGCGUGGGGAGCAAACAGGAUUAGAUA
rnacentral:rRNA from 1 species